CGCUUCUGGGGCGGGUGGACAAGAAAGCACCGUGGGGUGAGACCGCAGGCCCAGCCCCCACUGCCCCCUUGGCAACCAGCGCGCCCCCGGCUGAGGCUGACUCAGGCUCUGGGCAUCUUAAACCAGUGAGAUGAGCCACCUUCUAAAGAAAGACUGCAGCAAAGGUAAGGGCCACAGAGACUCCAGCCCGGGAGCUCAGUGCCCCGUGGGGCCCCUCUCACCAGGUGCAUUUUACGCAAAGACACGAUUACUCUGAGCAUCUGACACCAACAUGAAGGAAGCCACAUCCAGCAUCCUAACACACCAAUCGAGGGGUGGACCUUUUAAAUUUUUCUCUUAAACGAAUUUGGUGCCAUAGCUGGGGGAAAAAUUAAAAGCACUAAGUAGCUGUUGGGAGCCAGUGAAACGGAUGAAGGGUGUGGCUCCCCCCGGAGGCAUAUGGGGCCUGGGGUCACCAUCAGAGGCUGGCAAAAAACGAACCCUUACCUUUGUCGCUCUUGUGAUUAAAGAGCUCAGGACAAAGCCAAGAAACAGGGUGACUGGGAACCUGGGAAGGGCUCCCAGCGUGGCUGCCCAGGCCCAGCUCUGGGGCCUGGUUGAGCCCCUGACUUGAGCGGAUGCAAUGUGGGCCACUAAAGCCCCUUCCUUCUUAGGAAGGAAUAAAAUCCCAUCCACACUCGUGCUAAGAGGGACCGCCAUAAAGCGACAGGGUGGACUGUCUUGGGGUGAGGAUGCCGCACUGCACACAGGGUGCGGCGGCCCACAGCGGGGGCCUGGGGGCUUCAGAGCUGCGGUGUCAGGAGAGGAGACACAGCCUGGGGGGCGGAUGGAGCCGUUGGUUCCAGGCCGCCGGGCGGCUGCUCCGAGGGCAGCAUGCACUGGACAAGCAGAUGUUCUGACAGAAAGACUGUCUGCUCAUUGCUGGUGAGGACUCGCGCUCUGAUGGUUAUGUUCUCUGCACCCCUAGUCCUAUUCUGACUCUAAGAGGGAAAUGCACCCCCUUUCUGGCCGCAGGAGGACUGAGCUGGGUUUUGGCUGUGUUAUGGGAACUGGGGCCCGAGAGGAGCUUUGGCUGCAUCCACUUUGCCCCCCUAGAUGGGAUUUUGGCGACUGGGACCCCUGGCCACUUAGCACCAGCAAACUCCGUCCACGUGACCCAAUGACGAGAAAAGAUAAGCCCAGAGGUUUGCUGUGGUCAGUUUCAGAGGCCAAGGGUGCAGGCGUGACACCGAACCGGGAGCUGGUAGAGCCUCGUGCCUCUGUUCCCACCCCUUCAAGAACUGACUUUCCAGCCUCAGUGAGAGGCUGGCAAGGGCCCGGGGACUCGUGCUUGUCCCAUGUUUAAAAAAAACCUUCGUUAAAAAAAUAACCAAGCACCUCCAGAGGUCUGCGAGAAUUCAGGCUGCGACCAGGAAACCGCUGAUUUCAAUGAGAGGUUUGGAGAGAAAGAAAGGCACUUAUUAUUCAAAGGUGAUGGCCUCAAGAACAUCACAAAACACUUCCCUCUCAUUCUCAUCAUCUGUGAGUGAAACAGGGAACUGGCCAUGGGCUCGGGGCCGCUGUUCGGGCGAACCUUUCUAUCCGUCAUUCAACACAGAACACGAGUGCUGGACGCAGUGACCACUGGGAGCAAGGAAGCUGCAAAGCUACUCAGUUCCUGAUGUUGAAAUGUUGGCUGAAGUCUGAGGUCACCCUCAGGAUGGAUGGAGAAGUCAGAUCUCUAGCAGGGUUUGACAGAUUUGGACCCUGCUUGUUUUUGUGAAUAAAGUUUUAUUGGAACAUGGUCCUACCCACUUGUUACCCUGUUGUCUACGGCGGCUUUCAUCCUUCGGUGGCAGAGUUCAGUAUCUGUGACAGAGGCCUGCAGGGUCUAAAAUAUUUACUACCUGGCCCUCCCUGGGGGCUGGCCCCUCACCUCUACUGUUGAUGGAUGGAUAUACAGUGCUUGCUGAUCCCUGGUCUGUCUGUGGAUGAACAUGCAAUGUUUUACUGCUGGGAAGCCAGCUGUCAGGGGCCACCAUACCUCUUUGUUUUUGGAUUCUUUCUUCAGUGACUUCUCCAAAACUCUGGCUUCAUAUUCGGCUCUGGGAUGGUCCUGUGAAGGAAACCAGAAUCUGCUCCAGUAGACGGCUGACCCAGUUCACAUCACGGGGGACAGCGAGGACACUGAGUGCUCCAUGAAGGUGGCGGCUGAGGGCAGGAGGAGAACCAGACAGUCAGGGGCUGAGAAAUCCCACGGCAUCGGAUGACGUGAAAGCAUUCUCCUCUUCUGCACCGUUUGAUGAGGAAACUGAAGCUAAGAGGAAUUACAUGGCUUGUCUGAGAAGUGGUGGCGUCAAGAUGGAAAUACAACAAGACGUGGAACUUCAGUGCAAAUUCCCCAGUGUCGUCCUUUACCAGGAAAGAACGUAGGCGCUGGCCCUGGAAGGAAGUGGGCCUGAAUCUGACUCAUCUGGUUCAGAGAGCUUUAGUCUGUAUGCCCCCUCCCUGUUAAGGCGAGCUGAGAACAGGCCUCGGAGUCUGCGUGUAUCUGUGCAGAAUGCGUACACGUCAAACACCAGCUGCUGCACCAGCCAGGCCCAGCCGGGACACAGGAACCUCCUCGGUCUUUCUGACUGGGGUAAUUUAAACCUGGGCUUGGCCGCACAGGCAGGGGAAGAGCUGAGAAGGCCAGCAGGGGACGGUGAGACCACCCAGCGAUUAGCAACAGUAGGAAGUUGCUGCCAAUGCAGUGGGUCAUUUAGGGGCAGCGGGACAAGGGGAGGAGGUUACUGGAAACUGGAGCUUCCCAGAAGAAGCCAGGAUCAUGGAGGGUGGGCGUCUGGUGGGAGUUAGAGCCUUGGAGAAGACAAAGCCUCCUCCAGAGACGCCCCAGGAAGCAGAGGGAAGAGAAGGAGAAACACCCUGGCUUCUCCCUUUCUCCCGCCUUCUGACCCCCAUCAGGGCUUCCCAUUGGCUGAAUCUUCCCAGAAACCAGACAGCAGAGCAGGGGAGCCUGGGAAAUGUAGUUCCCUGUGACACAAGUACACUCCCAGCAGAUACAGACUGAGCAGGGACUCUGGAGGGGCCGGGCACCUGCCGUGAGGCAGCGUGUGGCCGGUGGCGCAGGCCCGUCCACAGUCUCAGCACCUCCUGAGAAGGAACAUGUGAGGGUGUUUCCUUCUGCUUCUUGCAACGUGUCCUUUGGUCACUGCAGUGGAGGACCUCGGGCCCAUUCCCACCCCUCCAUCCACUCAGGAAGGCCCUUCGCUCCUUCACUGUGUUUCGACAGCUGUCCCUCUCUGUCCUCCUCUGCCUGCCAGUGGCGAGGCCGCCUUUGAGACCUCAGGCUCAGUGGGAGAGCCGGCCUGUUUCCCUCCCCAGUCUUGGCCUCCCUGCGUGCCCCCCACCCCCGCCUCCUGGGCCUCCCCCUCCCCCCACUCACCAGUCUGCAGUGGGAGGACGCGCCUGCAGCGGGCUCUGUGCUGGUGGUUAUCCGACACCAGUUACAUGAGCCCUCGAAACCACACCAUGCAGUGAGAGCGACUGCCACUCGUACAUUGACAAACGAGGACAGAGGCUCAGAGGACUCAAUGCCAUGCCCAAGGUCAACUGCAGGUUAACGGCAGGAGUGGGACUUGAAUCUAAUUCUAUCUACCCCAGAGUAUACACUUAACCACCUGAUGGAUCCUCUGCACAGAUAUUUGAUUUUAAGAGAAUAAUAAUAAAAUCAUAAUAAUAAACUUG